AUAAAGUUUGCAUGUGGUGACUGAAAAAUUCAAAAUUUGGUAUAGUUAGUUAUAAUUAUGAACACAAAAUUAAUUCAAUAAGAGGGAUUGCAUUUUAAAAAUAUCUGUUACACAAAAUAUGUUGCAUUAUGAACAUAUCAGGUACAAAAAUAUGAUUUUUAUGGACUUGUAUUCUUUAUUGAGUAGAUGUUUAACAGUUAUAUAUGAUAGAUGGAUAAUGGUAUAUUUUCUAGUUGAUAAUGUGUGUGAUAAUUCAGGUAUACUUAGACUGAAGAUUUUGAAAAUUUUAUACAAGACACACAGGAAUAGGUUGACAUACAUUUAGAAGUUUAAUAAUAAUUAGAGUAAAAAAAAUUCAUGCAUGAUGAUAGAAAGAAACAUUUGGUAUUUAGAAGAAUACAGUGGAACUUGCCUAAUCUGACACACUGGGGGACUAGAAAAAAAUAUAAGAUUAAGCAGGGUGUCCAAAUACUCAGGUUUUUCUGCAAGGGUAGGCGUAUUUUAGGACCAUGAAAAUGUGUCGGUUAAAGCAGGAUGUUAGAAUACUCAGGUGUCAGAUUAGGCAGGUAACACUGUAAUUCUGGAGUAAAAAGACAUAUUUAAGAUACAAAAUUGUACAUUUUUAAGUGAUGUACAAUAACUCAGGAUUGCAUCUACUAAUAUAAUUAAACUGCUCACACAAACUUACAUAUCUUCAUUGUAUGGCUUCUUUUGUAUAUGAAUCAUUGAUGGUCUUGGUUUUUGCAGGUCACUAAAUGCUGACAAAUUGUCAUCUUCAGUUGUUUUAUUACAACAGAAAUUAAAUCUUUCUUCAGAAUCAGUUUGAAACAAUCAAUAAAUGAUUAUUUUUUUACAAGGAAUAUUUAAAAAUACCUAUUGAAUGAACUCCACAGGGAUUUAUACAAUCUUAAAAAAUCAAUGGACAGUUUAUGUGGUAGAGAGGUUUUGUAUUUGAAAUCAUACCACAUUUUAUUUCUAGAGGAGUAACCACCAAAUGUUUGUGGGGAAACUAUUCACUUUCUUUGCAUUUUGAUUAAUACUUAUGUCAUGUUUUACAUAAAAGUGUUGAAUUUGAUGUUAGAAAAAGCUGUCACUCUCCUUACUGAAGAUUUUUUCAGUAAAUAUUCUUUAAUAAUUUAUAUUAACUUAUUUAAUGCUUUUUGCUCUUAUCUAUACAAUUAUCUGUAACUGUAGUUUAUAUAUAUGCUGCUUCUCUAUUCUCAAUUUGCCCAAAAAUAAAAAGGAAUAGAAGAAAGGGGGGUUCAUGCCCUAAGCCACUUUAUACAUGUAUUGCUUCAUUGUAACUUUAUUUUGUUUGUACUUCCUUGCAUCCACUGUCAUGAAAGUUAUAGAGCUGAAUGGUGUUAUUUCCAUUUUUACUCAGACUUCAGUAUAAUUGUGUAAUUUUUUAGUUUUAUAAAAAUGGAUAAUUACCACGUGAACCACUAUUUUCAUUUACUAGGAAGAACUUGUUCCGAGCAUUCCUUAUUUUGAUUGGCUAAUUUGUUACCUGGAUACAAGGCGCUUUUAUAUAUUUCCUUGUUUCGGUAUUCGCAUUUCAUUUGAAAUUUAUCAUUGAAAUUGUAUCCUGUGAUAUAUAAAGUAUACACAGCAUAUUGUAAAAAUGCUUGAAAUUUGCUUUGAUUCACGCGUUAUCACAUGACUCUGUAUCAGGUAUAAACGAUAUCAUUGAUGAUAUGAAUAUGAUAUGAAUAUUGGUUAUAGAUUAUUGUAAAUACAGAAGUUAUUGCCUGCAUUUAUCAUUUGGACUUUGUCAUUUUGGGCUAAAAUGCGAUAUUAUUUUUUGCGAUAUUCAGAAAUAUUCUGUUUGAUUCAUAUAAAAAAAAAAUCAAAUUGUGAGUUAUAAUUAUGUAUUGCGAUUAUAACCCUGUCACAUUUUUUGCAAUAAUAAGAACAUUGCAAUAAUUUCUGAAUUUACACUAUUGGUUAUAGAUUAUAAGUAUAUCAUGGCUGAACUGUCUGUUAGUUUGACACUAACAAAUGAAGGAUAAGUAACAUAUGAUAGUUUUAAGUAGGUGGAAAAUUUUGUAUGAUGUUGAAAGGUUAAUAUAAGAUGAAAAUGUUUUAAUUGAAAAUAAAUUGUUAGAUUUCAUGUAUUGUUAUGAAUACAAAUAAUGUCAAAGCAUGAUAUAUCAUGUAAAAUUUUUAUGCUAGAGAUUACAUUUAUAUUCAUAUAUGAGAAUUGUUGAAAAUAAAAAU
rnacentral:lncRNA from 1 species